rnacentral:rRNA from 1 species
AGUGAACGCUGGCGGUAGGCCUAACACAUGCAAGUCGAACGGCAGCACAGUAAGAGCUUGCUCUUACGGGUGGCGAGUGGCGGACGGGUGAGGAAUACAUCGGAAUCUACUUUUUCGUGGGGGAUAACGGAGGGAAACUUACGCUAAUACCGCAUACGACCUACGGGUGAAAGCAGGGGAUCUUCGGACCUUGCGCGAUUGAAUGAGCCGGUGUCGGAUUAGCUAGUUGGCGGGGUAAAGGCCCACCAAGGCAACGCUCCGUAGCUGGUCUGAGAGGAUGAUCAGCCACACUGGAACUGAGACACGGUCCAGACUCCUACGGGAGGCAGCAGUAGGGAAUCUUGGGCAAUGGGCGCAAGCCUGAUCCAGCCAUACCGCGUGGGUGAAGAAGGCCUUCGGGUUGUAAAGCCCUUUUGUUGGGAAAGAAAAGCAGCAGGUUAAUACCCCGCUGUUCUGACGGUACCCAAAGAAUAGGCACCGGCUAACUUCGUG